AGAGUGAACGCUGGCGGCAGGCCUAACACAUGCAAGCCGAACGGCAGCACAGCAGAGCUUGCUCUGUGGGUGGCGAGUGGCGGACGGGUGAGGAAUACGUCGGAAUCUGCCUUUUUGUGGGGGAUAACGUAGGGAAACUUACGCUAAUACCGCAUACGACCUACGGGUGAAAGCGGAGGACCUUCGGGCUUCGCGCAGAAAGAUGAGCCGACGUCGGAUUAGCUAGUUGGAGGGUAAUGGCCCACCAAGGCGACGAUCCGUAGCUGGUCUGAGAGGAUGAUCAGCCACACUGGGACUGAGACACGGCCCAGACCUCCGUACGGGAGGCAGGCAGUGGGGAAUAGUUGGACAAGUGGGCGCAAGCCUGAUCCAGCCAUCGCCGGCGUGGUGUAGAAGAAGGUCCGUUCGGGUUAGUAAAGCUACGUUUUU
rnacentral:rRNA from 1 species